UUGCAUGAUAGGCCCCCUUUAAUGUGUUUUCUACCUUCCACAGGAUUACUGAUGGGAAUGAGUAUCUCUUCCAAGCCAAAGACGAGGAGGAGAUGAGCACGUGGAUAUCUGCCAUCGCGUCGGCCAUGACGGUUGAGAGUUCGGAGGUCACGCCCAGCAGCACCAGCACGCCCGCACCCCCCGCACGCGCUCAGACGCUGCCCGCCUCCGUCGCCACGGUGACCGCCGCCACCACCGCAGAGUCCAGCCCGGGGAAACGAGAGAAAGACAAGGAGAAGCGCUUCAGUCUGUUCAGCAAGAAGAAAUAGAUGCUCCUACUUCCUAAGUCCUACUUCCUACUUCCUUCUCUUUCCUCCUCUUCCUUCCUCUGGUGCUGUUUGGGGUUCCUUCUCAUUAUCCUUCAAUCAAAUAUUCGUGGAAGAUAUUAGAGAUUAGGUCGUGGCAACUGAUUAAAACUAUUAUAAUAAUUGCAAGGGUGUAAUGUCUGUUAAUGUAAUAUCAAAUAAUAAGGAAAAACAUGCUUACUCGUUCAUCCGAACACUUACUAGAUAUAUGAUAUAUAUAAGAUAUAUAUACAGUUUGGGUUCGCUCUUCAUUUUCGAUAUGUCAAAUAUUUGUUGAAGAUUUCCCUGUAAAUCUGUACAAAUUUGGAUUUUGGCAACUAGAUAUAUAACUAACCAAAAAUGUAAUUAAAUUGAAAUAUAAUGUAAGGUAUGUGAAUGUAAUAACAUCAAAUGAUGACGAAGAAAACAUGCUUUAUUAAAAUGUAACUCAUGGAUGUAAACACUUCCUACAGCAGUUACAGUAACAGCAGUUGCUACGUCAACUAAAAUCCCAAACAGCCUCUCCUCCUCUUCCUCCUCCUCCUCUUCCUCUCUGAAAGCGUGACUCCAGCAUGCAAGCUCCGAGCCAAAACUCUCCACUCUGUGCCUAACAACCGUCGGUCCGGCUCAGAGCGACAGCUACAACACACACACACCUGUAUCCUCGGUUCACUUUUUGUAAGAUAUGGAGCAGGAUUAAAAAAAAAAAAGGAAAUGCAUAAAGAUUGGAUUGAAGGAAACCUAAUUUAAAAAUCAAAAAGGGGUCUGCAAACGCUGCUGUCAUAAAGAUACAAACCAGAGUUUGCCGCUGAACAACAACACUUGAGAGGAGUUCCCAGAAUAUUCCUGUUUUAUUAUUCUUAAUGCUAUUAUUUGUGUUUCCUAUCUCCUCUCCGCUUUCUCAUCACUCCCGGCUUUUCGUCGACUACUGCCUUGUGUGGGUUGUGUUUACGCUCCAAGCUCGUCUUUGUUUUUUUCUUUUGGGAAGUUGUAGGUAGUUCCUGUUUUAGGCUCCAUCCUCAGUUUUUGCGAGGCCUUGUCUUUGCAAGAUGACGUGUAUCCCUCUGUCGUGGGGAAAGCUGAGACCACAGCGGGGUAAACCUCUGAAAUUACACCUCUUUUUUUCAACUGAAAUGUCCAAAAUUAUGUAAAGAUAUCCAACACAUGCUGACAGUUAAACGCUAUUUGAAGUAUAAAACAAAAGGUGCACUAAAUUGAAUUUUGUGCACUGAGUAAUUGAGCUUUUCCUUUGGUUAAAUGUGUGCAAUAAACCUGUGAAAAGCGAAUUAUCAUCGUUGUGCUCUGGUGCUGUCUAUUUCCUGCAGACAGAAAAAGAAAUGGCUGUAAUUUAGAGCGUUACCCUGCGGUGCUUUGAACUGUAUGUAUAACUUGUGUAUAACAAACUGUUAAAAAAAUAAACCUGUGUUUUAAUUCCACCUAUAUUUACUACUAAUAAGACCUACCAACCGUAAUAAGCUUAGUAUAACUUUCUUUACCUAAAAGAUCUUAAUGUACACUAAACCAAUCUGAAUGAAGGAGAAUAAAUAACAAAGACCAGUAAGAUUGUUUGACUUUAAUUAAGGUUUAUUUUCUACAUUUGUGUCAUUUAUUUCCUCCAUGUUUUUGUUUCCUCCAGUACAGUAUGUGUUUUCUGUUCCACACUUACUGUAAGCUAAGGAUUAUUUAGUAAGGAGACGUAGAUGUAUUAUUAUAUAAAAACAGAGAUUACUUUAAGCAUUGCUGUUAAGUGGACAAGUUGGUUCUUUUAUAAAAAGCAUUUACUGGAAGUGAGUAAUGUUGCAGAAUAAUGGUCGCUUGCUUGUUGGCUUCAGCACUCCCUUUUUAAUAUUUUGAUUUCAGACUUUGCUGCCAAGGAAGUGAAAACUGGUGGCUUUUAUAUGGAAGUUAUUUAAUGACAAAAUUAACAGCAAAAAAUUGCACUUGAGGAUCGAAAGCAUGUAGGUUUGUUAGCAUGAAAACUAUUUUUAAGGACAGAAUUUUGACACUUCAGCCUUCCUGUCGCAUGUUAUCUUUCAAUUUGCAUGCUUUAGUUUGUUUACAUGCGUGCAAAAACACUCAAAUGAGUCAUAAUAUCAAGUUUAAAUCCUCGAAAGUGAACGCUUUGAGAGGAUGUAUGCCUCUAAUCAAUGGUUUGAUGAUUGAAUGUAAAUCUAAGUUAGCCAAAUCUACGACAGUUUAAAGUGGACGUAUUUUCCUAAGGGAAUAAUCCACUUGUUGCUAAAUCUGCUAUCAGAAAAGGUGAUUUCAAAUGAAUCUAAAUCCAACAUCUUGAUUAAAUCUUGAAUUUGUUUUGUGCUCACUUGUAAUCGUGUCUUUAAUUAACUUCCAUACAAACAGAAAAAGUAGGAGCAAAACAGCAGGAAAGAACCCCAGAGUGUGAUGAAAGGUGGGUGCGUUUGUUUUCCCCACCAUGCUGGUGGUUGGUGAAACACCCGAAAGUAAAAACGUUUCGCGCGGUGAUUUGUCUCGUUUUAUUUUUAAUUUUUGCUUCAUUCUCUGGCAGUAUGAUCAAUAUAGUGUGCAUUCCUCUGUCACUGUAAUCAUAGAUAUUUCUUCAUAUUGCACAAUCAAUAAUGCCACAGUGGGUGGGUGGGGGGAUGGGGCGUGGGCGGGUUUUUUUUAGGUGAGAUUUAGUCUGUGUAUUGUGGACCAGGGGUCACUGCUAGUUGGAUCUGCACCCAUAGACUUCUCCCCGUCUGUUACAUAUGUGCAAAAAGCCAUUAAAAUGCUUUUAAAACGAAA